rnacentral:lncRNA from 1 species
AUCAACCCUUAAUCAGGCAAAUCUUCUAUCGAUCGACUAAUAAAAUUUUUUUGUUGAUCCAAGAGUCAACUAUUUGGUAGAUCAACCAGUUCAGUUUUCUGUCAAUUGAGGCACUGGAUGCAAAAAGGGCACUUCUCAGUUGCAGUGUUUCAGAGUCUCCUCUAAAAUUUCAUUCGUUGUAAGGAAAGUGAAUGCAUCCAUUUCACUAAGAAUUUAACUGAUAAUUUUACAAUUUUCUGUGAAGAGAAUUCUGGAAAAAUCACCCAUUAAAUUCUUCUCGAAGGGAUUAAUUAGCAACAGAUAUUCUGAAACACCGCAAUUGAGAAGUGCCCUUUUUGCAUCCAGUGCCUCAAUAGUCCCCAGACAAACGGCAAAAUGUAGUCCAACUUACCGCAACAUAAUGUCCGGGACUUGGUGGUCGGACAAUGGGCUGCCCUCUUUCAUAGGAACGGGAUUGUAGUGCUCCAUCUCGUCGCUACUCUCAUCGUCAUCAUCAUCGUCAUCCUCAUCAGAGUCGCUGUCUUCUUCAUCUUCCUGCUCCACCUCCUCGGACUCAUCUGACUCCUCACCCCCUCCGUCACUCUCUGCUUCACUGGUUUCUUUUGUUUCAUACGCGGCUGCAGCUUCGUGCUCAUUCUAUCGCAGUCAUCAUCACUCAUCCCUAUUACCUCCACGACGCUUUCACGGUGUUUGGAUUUCAACAAUUCCUUUUUUGGGAGGAGUUUAGCUGCUUCUAAAAUGGGCGCGGUAAUUUUUUCACAUUUUCCACUUCGCUUUUGUCAAAGUCUUCUAGUUUGACACUUUCUGCAAAAGAAAACAUUGGUAUGAAGAUUUUUCCCCACUUGUAUUGGUAUGCUUCAAUAGAUUCUUUUGGCCGAAAAUGGUUUUUUUUUAGGUUUAAAUAGUAAGUUUAUUGUAUAAAUACAGAAUUUACAAUUAGGUGAGAACAUUAUCGCACCUUCCUUACUACCUAUAGGUGUCAUAUCUGAUAUAUAUCCCUAUUUAGGCUACUGGAGGUUAUAUGA